CAGCCGCCACGGGAAUACGAGGGGGGCAAGCGUUGUUCGGAAUUAUUGGGCGUAAAGGGUGCGUAGGCGGUUUGAUAAGUCAUCUGUGAAAUCUCUGGGCUCAACCCAGAGUCUGCAGGCGAAACUGUCGGGCUUGAGUAUGGGAGAGGUGAGUGGAAUUUCCGGUGUAGCGGUGAAAUGCGUAGAUAUCGGAAGGAACACCUGUGGCGAAAGCGGCUCACUGGACCAUAACUGACGCUGAUGCACGAAAGCUAGGGGAGCAAACAGGAUUAGAUACCCCCGUAGUCCCUGUCUCUUAUAA
rnacentral:rRNA from 1 species